UACGUAGGGUGCGAGCGUUGUCCAGAAUUAUUGGGCGUAAAGAGCUCGUAGGCGGUGUGUCACGUCGGCCGUGAAAACCUGCAGCUUAACUGUGGGCGUGCGGUCGAUACGGGCAUCACUGGAGUUCGGCAGGGGAGACUGGAAUUCCUGGUGUAGCGGUGAAAUGCGCAGAUAUCAGGAGGAACACCGGUGGCGAAGGCGGGUCUCUGGGCCGAUACUGACGCUGAGGAGCGAAAGCGUGGGGAGCGAACAGG
rnacentral:rRNA from 1 species